ACAGAUGUAUGGCUCAGAAGACUCACAUAACAGACAAAGAGGGGGUUGUUGAUGCUGAUGCGGUGGAAGCAGCCGAUAGUACAAAAGAGCGUGGGAAUUGCGGUAUUGCAAGUAGCGCAGCUGGAUCGAGAUAAUCAAAAGAAACCAAUGAUGGAAGACGUUGUUGACAAAGGGAAUGAUCUUGAAUUGGCUAAAUCUUUUGUUUAAGUAACUAAGGAGAUUAUUGGAAAGUAGUUGAGGGCAAUAUCGAUCGAUAGAGCCCUGGUUUGAGAAACAAUGGGUCGUGCACCAUCCAUACGCAAAGACACGAACUAUAAUCAACAAGCAAACCGUGCGCUGUGCCGGUAGUGUCAAUCGGCUAUCUCUCCUUUGCAAAGCCAUUUAUUGUCUACACAGCGGUACAGCCUAAUUGAUAGAUGGCCAUAUCGCUCAUAUCCUUCUCCUUCAUCCGCUUCAUCUACUGAACCACCUUUUUCAAGCUUCAGUCACUCGUUUCUGUCCCUUCCGUCUUCUAUCGGAAGAAGGAACAGGUUAUUCCGCAACAUUCACCUCCACAUCACAGGGCCUGAUAUAUUAUUUUGAACCAGGGAAAUGCUAUCCCUGGCAUACAGGCUGUCACCGUGUGGAGGCCCGUGUGUCGUACACGGUCAAAAUGAUUUGAACGCCAUUGUUCUUAUCUGCCGAAGAUACGGUUAAAGAAGUGGUGUACCUGAACAAGUCAAUUGAAAUCAGCGUUAGACGGCAGCAAGUAGCUCGGGUCUCGGUAAUUGUACCGGGGAACUCACUGACGAGGACAUCCUCGUAUACAAAGCAGCUACAUACGCCGCGAGCUUUUUGCUGAACUUUUACAAAAGGGGAUCAAAUGCGAGGCGAAAGAUCAGAGGAGAGGAUUAAGGGCUGAAAAUACCCCUAUGUUCAGCCGUAAGACGUACUAGCUUUCCCCCGAUCUGAUUUUAUCGCUUUUGUUGAUGAAACAUGAACGUCCUAGAUUAUAGGAUGUAAGGUGUACACGAAGCGCCGGCGCGUAAUCGGCGGUGGCUGUCAGGUCUCUUUGUUCAGGUAUGAAAUGAUGAAACGCGUUCGCUUAUCUGGGUGCUUUUUGUUUUUUGUCCGUCUCCAUCGUUCGUGGUUUUGAAGUUCCUUUGUUUUAUUUUUCUCUGAUGAUCUCCGGCCCCGUGCCAGCACUUCUUUUCUUCCCGAAUCCUGAACACAAUCAAGCCCAAUCUUUCGUAAGAAGUUCAUAAUAAAUGGCUGUCAUAACAUUGAGAGUUAAAAUCAUCCUGCACACAAUACGGCUUGCAAUUUACGUACAUCAAAAGGAGCUCAUCAACCAAGGCUUGAUCCUCUCUCAAAGUACAGCGUUCAAUUGAUGGAGCUGCAAAGCAGAACGCCGCAAGCAUGCAAGGGAGAGAGGAGCGGACAGACGGCCCAAUAAUAAUAUGGUGACAGCAGAGCGUGCAUAACAACCUAUUCACUCCUUUUUCUGGCCAGAAGCUGUCUCUUAGUUUUUUGCU
rnacentral:sRNA from 1 species